ACUGUAAUCACAGUCGCCGGUGGCGGCGCUAUACGACGAACUGCGACCCACAGACUCCAUUUGCACCGCUGAGACCUCAACUAGGGCAUCGCCGUCAUUACCACCAUUACCAUCAGCAUCAUCCGCAGGAGCAGCAGCGGCGGCGGCGGCGGCGGCAGCUUCACCAUCUUCCUCUUCAUUGAGCGGGCUAGGGGUUUCUCUGUCAGAGGCGUAUCUCCUGCUCGACUUCGCCGAGUUUCUUGCUGCCGAUCGACGCCUCCGUCGGGUUCCGGCGCCGCCCCCGGCUGUUUCGGAGGAUCUCAAAAGCCUCAGACGAAGCCCUCUGGUUGUGGAACCGGGAAGCUGCUGCUGCUCCUGCUGCUGUUCCUCCUCCGGCGAGCUCGCCGGACGGUCUCCCUCGUCACCGGCGACCCAAUUCGCCGGCGACGGGAGCUCGGCACUCGUACGGAUGAGUCUGCCGUUUGAUCGACUCGAAAGGUCGGAUCUUUUGGACAUCGCCCACCGUCUUUUGAUCUGUUCUUGGGCAGUCAACGAGAUUUCCUCUUUGAGCUCGCCUCCCAUGGCCUGGAGAAUCUGACCAGCAUGCAAUGGAUUCAGGUCAAAGAAUCGAAAUCAGCAUGCAUAGAAGAACCAUCCAUCGGCCGGUGAAUUUAUUUAUCUUGAAUAGUUUCCCGUCUCGGAUCAAUAAAAAUGUUUCACGUAAUUUCAAAAUAGUCAACGGAGCGCUGAAUAAAGGAGCAGAGAUUAUUAAUUUUUCUUUCAGGCCGCUGUAUGAUGAACUGGAAUGGAGAUCUGAGAACAGUGAAGGGAAGAGCGAAGAUACCUUUCCCGUCCGCCGCAAGAACGAUCUCCUCUUCCUGCCAUGAACCUUCCCCUUGGAGCUCCUCCAGUGCUUUAAUGGCGAACCAGCUUCCUCUCCGGGGAACCUGCUCCUCGCAUCUCGGAGCUCGAGCCUCAGCCUCUUUCGCGGGGAGAAAUCGAAAUCCAGCUGCGGCGCCGCCGCCGCCGCCGCCGCCGCCGGCGCAGCCUCCCCGAGCUUGGACAAGAUGCGCACCUUCGUGCCGUCGGGCUCCACAUACACCGGCCGCUCACCGGCGGUGACCGGCGGAGGAGGAAGCUCCGCCGGCGACCUUAUUAGAGCGAGAUCCACAGACCAGCUGGUGCCGUUCCUCC
rnacentral:lncRNA from 1 species